rnacentral:rRNA from 1 species
GACGAACGCUGGCGGCGUGCCUAAUACAUGCAAGCUGAGCGCUGAAGGUUGGUACUUGUACCAACUGGAUGAGCAGCGAACGGGUGAGUAACGCGUGGGGAAUCUGCCUUUGAGCGGGGGACAACAUUUGGAAACGAAUGCUAAUACCGCAUAAAAACUUUAAACACAAGUUUUAAGUUUGAAAGAUGCAAUUGCAUCACUCAAAGAUGAUCCCGCGUUGUAUUAGCUAGUUGGUGAGGUAAAGGCUCACCAAGGCGAUGAUACAUAGCCGACCUGAGAGGGUGAUCGGCCACAGUGGGACUGAGACACGGCCCAAACUCCUACGGGAGGCAGCAGUAGGGAAUCUUCGGCAAUGGACGAAAGUCUGACCGAGCAACGCCGCGUGAGUGAAGAAGGUUUUCGGAUCGUAAAACUCUGUUGGUAGAGAAGAACGUUGGUGAGAGUGGAAAGCUCAUCAAGUGACGGUAACUACCCAGAAAGGGACGGCUAACUACGUGCCAGCAGCCGCAGUAA